GAAGAGAACCCACGGCCACCGCGGGGAGGGUCGCGCUCUCCCAAUCGCUCGCGCCGCCGUCCCUCGUGAGCACGGACGACCGUUAACGGACUCCAGGCGGGGGAGGGGCGCGGACCCCGGAACCGGCUGCACGGGAUCCUCAGGGGUCUCAAGCCGGGCACGCGCGGCUGCCCCUGCCACUGGGACUGCCUGUCCGACAUCCGCGCACUCGCUUUUGCAAACCCACAUGUUCUCCUCACUCUUCAAGUGAAAUGUGCCUGCCGGGUGUCAGCUGGGUGCUGUGUUCUCAGCCACUAAGAGUGAAAUGGAAGGGCACCUUGGAUGGAGCCCUGGUGUUCCAAACCAGCCUGGGCAGCAGUGAGGUCUCACCUCAAACUGCAAACAGCAAAACAGUUGGAACCCACUUCUGAGAUUGCUCAUUAGCAAGUGGAUGUACAGGGUAACAUGUCCAGUGUGUCGGAGGAGAGAAGAAAAAGGCAGCACAGCAUCAAGGACGGUCUACAGUUCAUCCAGUAAGAGCUCGGCACUUCAUGGCUGCUGUGCUUGUCUGAGGGCUGCCCUGUAUUAUGGAGUCUGCACAUGGAGAAAGUCAGGGAACUCUUUUGGGUUUUUCUAGGAUUGUGCUGUUCUGUUUUAUGAUAAAAUCUCACACUGUAGCCAAAGAAAGCCACAAACUCCUACCAAUCCUCCUGUCUCAGCCUCUAGGCAUGAGCCACCAUACCUAGCAAGGCUGAGAAAUUUCAUAGUAUUCAGAUUGGGUUAGAAGUGACAC
rnacentral:sRNA from 1 species